CAGUAGCGUAUAUUAAAGUUGUUGCAGUUAAAAAGCUCGUAGUUGGAUGUCGGAAAGGAGCUCAUGGUUUGUCCAUCAUUCUAUUUUUUGAAUGCAUUGUGACCCAGAGUCCGCCUUUUCCUACUUUUUUACGACUGGAGUCGAGGAGAUCUUUCUUUUUGGGGGAUGCAUUCAUUUGCAAUACCCUGGUCUCUGCUUGAGAUUUUGGUCAUGUUACUGUGAAGAAAUCAGAGUGCUCAAAGCAGGCAUUUGUCCGAAUGGAUUAGCAUGGGAUAACCACCAUGGACCUCGGUCUUUGGGGAGUUGGUUCACAAGAUCGAUGGCGCUUGAUUAAUAGGGACAGUUGGGGGCAUUCGUAUUCAGAAGUCAGAGGUGAAAUUCUUGGAUUUUCGGAAGACGAACCUAUGCGAAAGCAUUUGCCAAGGAUGUUUUCAUUAA
rnacentral:rRNA from 1 species